rnacentral:lncRNA from 1 species
GGUGACACAACAUUUUGAUGUUAAACUAUGGGUUUUUGUUUCUGAUGCUUUUGAUGUAAGGAUAAUAAAGGAAGCAAUUGAGUCUGCAACAAUGGAAAAAUGUGAAAAUUUGGCGGUAAAUGUGCUUCAGUCCAAGCUCUGGGCAUUGCUGCACAAGAAAAGGUACUUAGUUGUGUUGGAUGAUGUUUGGAAUGAAGAUCAGAAGGCAUGGGACAAACUAAAACCUGUAUUCGUGGGUGGCAUGGAUGGGAGUAAAAUAGUUAUCACUACCCGAAACCAAAAAGUUGCACUUGUAACAAGCUUCCCAACUUAUCCAUACUAUUUGAAAGAACUGGACGAGGAUGAUUGCUGGAAGUUGUUCAAGCAUCGAGCUUUCCCACGAGGAGAAGAAAGUAAGUAUCCGAACCUUGUACCAAUAGGAAAAGAGAUCAUUAAAAAAUGUGGAGGUAUUCCAUUAGCAGUGAAAACUAUGAGUGUUUCGAUGCGCUUUAAGAAACAGGAAAGAGAGUGGUUAUUUGUUCAAAACAGUGAUCUAUGGAAAUUAGAUGUAUACCAUAAAGAAAUUUUACCUGUAAUGAAAUCCAGCUACCUUCUUUUACCAUCUCACCUCAAACGCUGCUUUGCUUUCUGCUCAAUUCUCCCCAAAGGAUAUGAAAUCAAGAAGGAGAAACUAAUCCAAUUGUGGAUGGCAGUAGGGUUAAUUCGAUCUGAUGGAAC